rnacentral:rRNA from 1 species
GCUUGUGACCGUCGGGCCUGGUUAGUACUGGGACGGGAGAUCACCUGGGAAUACCAGGUGCUGUAAGCU